CAGUUGCUCACUUCCUAACAAUGUAGCCGCAUUUGUGAGUAAAACAAAGUACUAUUAACUAGCAAGAAUAAUAGAGGAAGUGUUUUUGAUUUGUUUAAAAGCUAAAAAUGAAGCAACCAAUUGAACAUGAAAAAGAUUCCUACAACAACUAGCCUAGAAAAUAUUCAAGGAUGUUGUCUUCAUGCUACUCUUGUGCUUUCCCAAAAUGUCCCCAACAGCUUCCCGCGCCAUCUUCAUCUUCAAAACUAGCAAAAAUCACCACAUCAUCAUCAUCGCAAUCACCAUCAACAAACAAUUUGAUCAUGUCAAAUUCCGCCCCCUCAAUGAUGUUCCCUGUAAUGGCCGGGUCUCUUUUCCUCCCCUUCAUUUCCUUCUUGUUGAUUUUGUCCUCAUUUGCUCUCUUGGGUUCGAAAUGUUCGGAGGACACUCCUCUAUUUGAAACUAUUAUUCUUGUUUUGUUCGGUGUUGGAAUUCACCAGUUCCGGAGGGUGCAGAGUUCGGUCCGGAGUGUCCGGGAAUCAAGUCGGAAAAUUUCUGGGUUGCUGGCUAGGGCCGCAUGUGCAGGGGCCCUGGGCCGUACGUGCAAGGGCCAUGGGCCGCACGUGCGGUGAGGGUGGAGCAGCUGGGGUUUGCACACUGCCUAAAAGGCACGUGCGUGAGGAAGGUGCGAGAAGCGCCGCACGUGCGGGGUGGAAGUGUCGCACGUACGGGAAAAACGCGCUGCACGUGCAGGACCUAGGCAGUCCGGAAACUCUAUUUUUCUACUCCUUUGGUCCGAAUUUGUAUCACAUUUGGGGCUCAUUUCUCUCACUCUAAAACCUAAAUUUUCUCUUCUUUCUCUCUAGAAAAACAUUCCCAAACAUUAAAACCCCUUGAUUCUUGCAAUCCAUUGGGUCUAGAUCAUCAUCCUCACUCUCAAAUCUUGAAGGUCAAGUUGGGGCUCUUCAUGGUGUGUUGGAAAUCAAGACUCUUCUCAUCCUUGAAGUUAGGGUUUCACCUCUCCUUCUUCAUCAAUCCUUAAGGUAAAGAUGUGGUGCUCCCGUCGAAUUGAGGGUGUGGAAAUGUUUUGAGAAGAAUAGUGUGCUCUUUAUUUUGUGGUGCUUAUCUGUAAAGCCUAGGGCUAUUUUUGGUAUGGUUCUGAGAGACCACUUUUGUGUAACCAGGCUUAAGCCUCUGAAGUUGAAGCCUGUAAGGGCAUUUUAUUUAUUUUUGAAACUAGAUGUUUCACAUGCUAUGGAUUCAGGUGUUCUUUUAUUUUGUUGAAUGUGUACCGCAUGUGGGACUUUCGUA